rnacentral:rRNA from 1 species
UACGGAGGGGGGUUAGCGUUGUUCGGAAUGACUGGGCGUAAAGCGCGCGUAGGCGGGCUGGAAAGUUGGGAGUGAAAUCCCGGGGCUCAACCCCGGAAUGGCCUUCAAAACUCCCAGCCUAGAGUUCGAGAGAGGUGAGUGGAAUUCCGAGUGUAGAGGUGAAAUUCGUAGAUAUUCGGAGGAACACCAGUGGCGAAGGCGGCUCACUGGCUCGACACUGACGCUGAGGUGCGAAAGCGUGGGGAGCAAACAGG